UACAGAGGUCUCAAGCGUUGUUCGGAUUCAUUGGGCGUAAAGGGUGCGUAGGUGGCGCUGUAAGUCGGGUGUGAAAUUUCGGAGCUUAACUCCGAAACUGCAUUCGAUACUGCGGUGCUUGAGGACUGGAGAGGAGACUGGAAUUCAUGGUGUAGCAGUGAAAUGCGUAGAUAUCUGGAGGAACACCGGUGGCGAAGGCGGCAUCCUGGACCGGCAUUGACGCUGAGGCGCGAAAGCCAGGGGAGCAAACGGG
rnacentral:rRNA from 1 species